rnacentral:lncRNA from 1 species
GAGGGUACAGGCAAGGGGAUUCCUCUGUCACCUUUAUCUUCUACCUCUCAAGGGGACGAUGUGCUGCUGAGACUGUGGUCGGUGUGCCACAGGAGCUGGUGGCAGCAGCUGUUACUGCUUUUACUACAUGAAGCUGCGCAUAGGUUUCCUACAAAUGGCUUGCAUUCUUCCCCACUCUCAUUCCUUAUGAGAAGUCUUUCCUUGGAGGGCCUGACUGAAUUUUCCAGUUCCCACCCACCUCUUUCAUUAGCGCCUACUUGGCCCUACAGUGCCACCAGAAGGGACAGCCUCCACCUCACUGCUACAUGCAGACCCAGCACUUUGUGCUGGGCUAAGAAUAGAAUUUGCAGUCACCACAGUGACAAGAUUCCAUUUCAGAAGGCUGGGGUUAUUAGCCCCUCACCAUAGGCCCGAGAGGGUAAUAUGCAGUAGGUAAAAAUCUUUGCAUGACCAGUGCUGCAGAGAGAAUUCAGCUCUAAAAACAGCUAUCUUUGAGUUUGCAAAAGACAACAAUGAAUAAAAGGGACUAAGAUGGGCUGGAGAGAUGGCUCAGCGGUUAAGAGCACCCGACUGCUCUUCCAGAGGUCCUGAGUUCAAUUCCCAGCAACCACAUGGUGGCUCACAACCAUCUGUAAAGAGAUCCGAUGCCCUCUUCUGGUGUAUCUGAAGACAGCUCAGUGUACUUAUAUAUAAUAAAUGAAUAAAUCUUUAAAAAAAAAAAAAAAGGGACUAAGAUACUAAAGAAGUUGCAAGCAGGAGUCUGUAUAUGGAAGAAUCCUACAGCAGUAGGUGGGUAUGAACGUGUGGAAAUUCCAAUGAGAAAGAGGGGCUGGCUUGUGCUUAUCUGCAAGUAUCUUAUAAAUGACAGGAGGAA